rnacentral:rRNA from 1 species
UGCCUACGGGAGGCUGCAGUGGGGAAUAUUGGACAAUGGGCGAAAGCCUGAUCCAGCAACGCCGCGUGAGGGAUGACGGCCUUCGGGUUGUAAACCUCUUUCAGUAGGGACGAAGCGCAAGUGACGGUACCUACAGAAGAAGCACCGGCCAACUACGUGCCAGCAGCCGCGGUAAUACGUAGGGUGCGAGCGUUGUCCGGAAUUAUUGGGCGUAAAGGGCUCGUAGGCGGUAUGUCACGUCGGGAGUGAAAACUCGGGGCUUACCUCCGAGCCUGCUUCCGAUACGGGCUGACUAGAGGUAUGCAGGGGAGAACGGAAUUCCUGGUGUAGCGGUGAAAUGCGCAGAUAUCAGGAGGAACACCGGUGGCGAAGGCGGUUCUCUGGGCAUUACCUGACGCUGAGGAGCGAAAGUGUGGGGAGCGAACAGGAUUAGAUACCCGAGUAGUCAU